rnacentral:rRNA from 1 species
GAUGAACGCUAGCGGCAGGCCUAAUACAUGCAAGUCGGACGGGAUUCGGGUGCUUGCACCUGAUGAGAGUGGCGCACGGGUGCGUAACACGUAUGUAACCUACCUUAGUCAGGGGGAUAGCCUCUCGAAAGAGAGAUUAAGACCGCAUAACAUCAUUGAAUGGCAUCGUUUGAUGAUCAAAUAUUUAUAGGACUAAGAUGGGCAUGCGCAACAUUAGCUAGUUGGUGUGGUAACGGCAUACCAAGGCUACGAUGUUUAGGGGAUCUGAGAGGAUGACCCCCCACACUGGCACUGAGACACGGACCAGACUCCUACGGGAGGCAGCAGUGAGGAAUAUUGGUCAAUGGACGGAAGUCUGAGCCAGCCACGUAGCGUGAAGGAUGACCGCCCUAUGGGUCGUAAACUUCUUUUAUUUGGGACUAAAUUGAAGGACGCGUUCCUUUUUUGCAUGUACCAUUUGAACCAGCAUCGGCUAACUCCGUGCCAGCAGCCGCGGUAACAC